CAUGGCUCAGAACGAACGCUGGCGGCAGGCUUAACACAUGCAAGUCGAGCGCACCUUCGGGUGAGCGGCGGACGGGUUAGUAACGCGUGGGAACAUACCCUUUGGUACGGAAUAGCCUCUGGAAACGGAGAGUAAUACCGUAUGAGCCCUUCGGGGGAAAGAUUUAUCGCCAAAGGAUUGGCCCGCGUUAGAUUAGGUAGUUGGUGGGGUAAUGGCCUACCAAGCCUACGAUCUAUAGCUGGUUUUAGAGGAUGAUCAGCAACACUGGGACUGAGACACGGCCCAGACUCCUACGGGAGGCAGCAGUGGGGAAUCUUGGACAAUGGGGGCAACCCUGAUCCAGCCAUGCCGCGUGAGUGAUGAAGGCCUUAGGGUCGUAAAGCUCUUUCGCCUGUGAAGAUAAUGACGGUAGCAGGUAAAGAAACCCCGGCUAACUCCGUGCCAGCAGCCGCGGUAAUACGGAGGGGGUUAGCGUUGUUCGGAAUUACUGGGCGUAAAGCGCACGUAGGCGGACUGGAAAGUUGGGGGUGAAAUCCCAGGGCUCAACCCUGGAACUGCCUCCAAAACUAUCAGUCUAGAGUUCGAGAGAGGUGAGUGGAAUUCCGAGUGUAGAGGUGAAAUUCGUAGAUAUUCGGAGGAACACCAGUGGCGAAGGCGGCUCACUGGCUCGAUACUGACGCUGAGGUGCGAAAGUGUGGGGAGCAAACAGGAUUAGAUACCCUGGUAGUCCACACCGUAAACGAUGAAUGCCAGUCGUCGGGUAGCAUGCUAUUCGGUGACACACCUAACGGAUUAAGCAUUCCG
rnacentral:rRNA from 1 species